CGCAACCCCUGCUUUCAGUUACCAACGGGUCAUGCCGGGAACUCUGGAGAGACUGCCCAGGAGAACGGGGAGGAAGGUGGGGAUGACGUCAAGUCAGCAUGGCCUUUAUGCCUGGGGCCACACACGUGCUACAAUGGCCGGUACAAAGCGCUGCCAACCCGCAAGGGGGAGCCAAUCGCAAAAAACCGGCCUCAGUUCAGAUUGAGGUCUGCAACUCGACCUCAUGAAGGCGGAAUCGCUAGUAAUCGCGGAUCAGCACGCCGCGGUGAAUACGUUCCCGGGCCUUGUACACACCGCCCGUCACACCACGAAAGUUUGUUGUACCUGAAGUCGUUGGCGCCAACCGCAAGGAGGCAGACGCCCACGGUAUGACCGAUGAUUGGGGUGAAGUCGUAACAAGGUAAAGGG
rnacentral:rRNA from 1 species